GAUGAACGCUGGCGGCGUGCCUAAUACAUGCAAGUCGAGCGAACAGACGAGGAGCUUGCUCCUCUGACGUUAGCGGCGGACGGGUGAGUAACACGUGGAUAACCUACCUAUAAGACUGGGAUAACUUCGGGAAACCGGAGCUAAUACCGGAUAAUAUAUUGAACCGCAUGGUUCAAUAGUGAAAGACGGUUUUGCUGUCACUUAUAGCUGGAUCCGCGCCGCAUUAGCUAGUUGGUAAGGUAACGGCUUACCAAGGCAACGAUGCGUAGCCGACCUGAGAGGGUGAUCGGCCACACUGGAACUGAGACACGGUCCAGACUCCUACGGGAGGCAGCAGUAGGGAAUCUUCCGCAAUGGGCGAAAGCCUGACGGAGCAACGCCGCGUGAGUGAUGAAGGUCUUCGGAUCGUAAAACUCUGUUAUUAGGGAAGAACAAAUGUGUAAGUAACUAUGCUCGUCUUGACGGUACCUAAUCAGAAAGCCACGGCUAACUACGUG
rnacentral:rRNA from 1 species